UCGCCCGCCGCGCGCGGCGGGCGGGGCGGGGGCACGGGGGGCCUACGGGAGGCAGCAGUAGGGAAUCUUCCACAAUGGGCGCAAGCCUGAUGGAGCAACGCCGCGUGAGUGAGGAAGGCUUUCGGGUCGUAAAGCUCUGUUGCCAGGGAAGAAUAAGGGCGAGGUCACUACUCGUCCGAUGACGGUACCUAGAYGAGACAUAUUCCC
rnacentral:rRNA from 1 species